UGCACUUGUGAAAUAAGCUUUUGUUGGUGCUAAGAUUGCGCAGCUCUUUCCAGCUCAGACAACAUUGUAGUUAAGGUGUUGUCAAGUUAGUACCGUAGGCUAAAAAAUGCUGGGAUCCCACACAUAUUUCUUUUAUUUUGAAUUUUUUUAUUUUGCCUUCAGAUAGACCAAAUCGACCAUUAACAUUGAUGUAUAUAUUGAACUCUUGAAGAAAAUUUUCAGGCUGUUUUGCUCUCAUGAUUUA